GCUGGGUGUGGUGGCACAUGCCUGUAACCCCAGCAACUCAGGAGGCUGAGGCAGGAGGAUCACAAGUUUAAGGCCAGCCUCAGCAACUUAGCAAGGCUCUAACCAACCUAGGGAGACCCUGUCUCAA
rnacentral:sRNA from 1 species